UCUGUCUGGCAGCACAGAUACUAAAAUUGGAACAAUACAGAAAAGACUAGCAUGGCCCCUGCCCAAAGAUGACAUGCAAAUUCUCAAAUUUGUGAAGUGUUCC
ensembl:snRNA U6 U6 spliceosomal RNA